rnacentral:rRNA from 1 species
GACGAACGCUGACAGCGUGCUUAACACAUGCAAGUCGAACGGAAAGGCCCUGCUUUUGUAUGGUAAUCGUGUGGCGAACGGGUGUAUCGCGCGUGAGUCACCUGCCCUUGACUUGGGGAUAACUUCGGGAAACUUGGUCUAAUACCGGAUAGUCACUCCUGCGGCUUGCUGGGUGUUGGAAGGUUACGCCUGUGGGGAGUGGACUCUCGGCUUAUCAGGUUGUUGGUGGGGUAGUGGCUUACCAAGGAUUUGACGGGCCGACGGCGUGAGAGGGUGACCGGCCACAUUGGGACAGAGAGACGGCCCAGAUUCCUACGGGAGGCAGAAGUGGGGAAAAUAGCACAAUGGGCGGACGACUGAUGCAGCAACGCUGUGUGUGGGAUGAGGGGCUUCGGGUUGUAAAAAGCUUUUGCCUGUGACGAAGAGGGAGUGACGGUAAUGGGUAAAGAAGCGACGGCUAACUACGUG